AACACCGUGUCCUGCUGUCAAAUGUGAAUAAUGCCAACCUGACUCUCAUUAACACGCAGCCGUCAGGGAGUACACACUUUUCAAUUUCUUUUCCCUCUGCCAAUAUUUCCUUUACUCUUUUCAUUUCGUAUAUCCUUAAUUAAUAUUUCAAAAUUUUCCUUCUCUUCCAGGCAUACUUUCUACGCAGGGCACUGACUGGACAGUCCCACUGGUCGUCUGCGCGAAAUCAAAAAAUCCUUGGGCAAGAUUUUCUAUUUCGCACAUUCGCAGGUGGCUUUGUUCAUUCAGUGGCAUGCAUAGAGCAUCUACAUAAACACAUGGCGGGGAGGCAAAAAAAAAACUCAUACGGCACUACAGAAAAAACCUCCCGCCAUGUGCGACUUAAAAAGAAACAAUACUGCCCAAAUGGGGCACAAAAAGAACAGUAUACAUAUCUAUAUGGAUCCACGUGCCUCUGUUGUUCCACUACGAUUUUGAGGAGAAACUACUCCACGGGAAUGGAUACUUUGCCCUCACAAUCGCUCCGAACUUCAGGGUGCACUUGGCUCCACAAACAAACUAAACUAAACAUGCAAAACAAAAAAAAACAACAUCAAUCAUCCAUUUGGGCACGGCGGACCAGCCGACAUGAAAGAAUAUGGUCCAGCCACUCGGGUCUCUAAAUAGCUCCUCCAGAACCCCUCCAGCGACCCCAUGAGAAUAGGGGCUGGGGAUCAUGCGUGGUUCGAGGCCGCCACGAAGGCGUAAAGGCCCACCCGUAAGGGUUUCCACGCAAAAUUUUUUUCCCCCAUUCUUUCUAUUCUCCUUGCGUCCGGAAAGUGGGGAAAAUAUGUCCAAUUAGGCCACGCAACAAUAUAUAAGAGAAGAACGAAGGCAAAUGUGUAAACAUUGAUACUUAGUUCCAUGCCACUUCUCCCAUCAAACGCCUCACAAGUGGUGCAUAGGGGAAAGCUCCUCAGAUAUGACGGGUACUGCAGAAAUAAAAUAUGCGGAGCGAAUCAACAAGUUAGCACAAGCAGGGUGUGUGUCGCUUGCAAGAAUACAAAUACGAACAUGAUAGGUUUGUGCAAUAGGGCCGGCAGCGAAUGUGCCAAAGGAAAUGGCCAACGGUGACGCUCGCAGAUGUUCAGAAGAUCCACCAUCAAGAAAGCCCGGCCUAGAGGGUUGCUAGCAGCCUCAGCACUAGGUACUAUCCUUCUAAAUUUAACGAUUAUAGAAACAGGAAUAAUGGAAAUGACCACCCCCCGAAGUCGACCUAUGGAUUCAGAACACGGUUUAUGAUUGGAAUAUGGAGCGUCAGAACUCUCUCAGAAUCAUCGAGACUUUACCAAGACCAGAACGAGAUGUCUAACUACAAAGUAGACAUCCUCGGUUUAAGUGAAGUACGAUCGACGAAAUCCUGAACUACGCAUUUUCAAGGUGGCUACCACUUCAUUUUUUCAGGCAAUGAAUUCUACCGAAUAAAUGGGAUCGGUCUUUUACUUUAACGCAUCAUGGCGGCAAGAUUAAAUUUAAAAUUCCGCAAAAUAUCUAUCGUAUUCGCCAACCAAAGCCGACGACGACGAAACAAAGCACCAACUCGACUCAAUGACAAGCUCUCUACCGAAAGGAGAUAUUAAAAUGGUUAUGGGUAAGGUGGGCAAUAGCAACAAUAAUCUGCAAUUAGUCAUGGGAAUGCAAGAACUUGGCGAUACCAGGAAUGACAAUGGCGAAAGAUUCGUUAAUUUCUGCACAAGAAAUCUACUCUUUAUUGAAGGAACAAAAUUCCCCCCUAAAAAUACACAUAACUAUACUUGGGAAUCACCAGAUGGAAAUACGCGUCAUCAAAUCGAUCACGUAUUUACCAGCAGAUUCUUUCUGGGUUCGCUGAUGGAUGUAAAAACUAGACGAGGAUCUGACAUCGAUAGUGACCACAUGAUCUUAGUGGCCACUCUACGUCUACGCAAACUCAAACAAAAAGCACAAAGUUCAAACUCUUUCACCUAAAAAACCGAAACCGCGCGCGAAUAGGAAAUAGCAUUAACUGAGAAGCUACAAACUACCAUCUAGACGUGGGUUGGCAUAACAUCAGCCCAUACGGAGACGGCCACCUCUAUCACAGGCAUUGCUAGACGACGGAUCGGAAUUCACAACACCUGAAAAGCAAUUAGAACGAUGCCGCGGAUUUUCAGCUCCGAAGGACCAGAAACAAUAUACGAUACCUUAUGAACUGUUGAGGUAUGCGGCACACCCCAUAGCUCAAGCGAUCAUCCCAAUAAUCAGGGAGGCCAGGGAUAUAAACCCUGUCUCCACGGAAUGAAUGAAGGGGAUUAUGCUCACAAUCCCCAAGAAGGGUGACCUCACCCAGUGUAAUAAUUGGAGGGGAAUUACAUUGCUAAACGCAAUAAAUAAAUUGAUGGCAAGUAUUCUUCUGCAGCGUCUGUACUUGACAGCAUUUUGAGGAAGGAACAGGCAGAUUUUCGGCCAGGACGUUCUUGUGCCGACUAUAUUAACUCCAUUGAACAGUAGGCAUAACUUAAUACUCACAUACACCUUUUAUUCAUCUACUUCGAGCGUGCGUAUUCCUAAUUAUGGAGCUGUAUAGGAAUGCUGAAGUUUCAGUCCGGUUCAAUGGAAAAGAGAGCCUACCUAACUAACUCAAUAAAGUUUUGAGAUGCAGUGACAUUUCACAUAACACAAAAGUCAGAAUCUUCAACAGUAGUGUGAAAUCUAUUUUAAUCUUGUAUAUGGAGCUUGGUACAAGCGACAACCCGCAAAGUCCAAGUUUUUAUAAAUCGCUGCUCACGACAAAUACUUUGAAUUUUCUCGCCAAACCGUAUUAAAAAUGAAGAAUUGUACAUAAGAACAAAUAUUUCCUCUGUCGAUGUAGAAACCUGGAAGAGAAAUGGAUUUGGUUGGGUCAUAUCCUACGCCGACGGCGCGACGAUGUAGCGAGAAAUGUCCUAGACUGGAAUCCGCAAGGAAAGCGAAGGAUGGGACGCCCAAAAAACACAUUGAUCCGCUAUACGAAAAGAGAGUGUAUAUAUGAGAUGGUAAUUUAGAUAAGUUCACAUGUAUGUACGUCCGGGAUGAAGCAGAGGAUAGGUUGGGUGUGGCGUACGUGAGUAGAGUAUGGUAACGAGUUGAUGUUGUUCGAUUGUGCACAUGUGUAUGUAUAUAAGAUGAUCUGUAAAUAUACAUUGGUAGCUUCAGUUCUGUAUUAGGUAGACUGAUGCAAUAAAGAAGACAACGCAGGCAUUCCUGUGCAAACCGUAAAAUAGUCUACAUCGUCAGGUGUGGCCGAAAAACGAAAAGAAUUUUUUUAAGGCCUGUGGGAAAGAUUGUGGAAUAAAAAAAGACCCUUUGGUGAAAGAAAAAGGAAAACAAACAGCUUCAGUCAUUGGAGGAAGAAAAAUUGAGAAAUUUAAAAAAAAACCUUCAGAAAAGAACAAAGGAAGAAGAAAAAACCUUAAGAAAAAAUAGAAAAAAACAACUUCAAACAAGGAAAGAAAUAAGUUAAUCGUGACAGAAGAAAUGAGUGUUCAGGACAAAAUUGCAGCAAAAUCGAGGGCAAUGGCCAUAGAUUUCCCUCCAUCGGCCAGCCUCAUACCGUUGAAACACUAAUUGGGAGGGGUCGUGACUGAACACGUGGAUAAAGGCCAGGCAGAUGCACAAGACGGCGAAGGACAUGGCUACGAUACAAACAUGAGCAGCGAUAACGUCAUUGACGUCGAAAAGAAUGACGCCAAUAUACACGCCAGUGAGAAUAGCAAGUCCAUGCAGAAUGCUAAUGGUCAGACCGGUGAAGGCGGCGAAUUAGAGCGGGUCGAGCGAGACCAUACAAGCCGUCUCCGUAUUCUGAAGCUGAAAAACGAAAUAAAAAAGAUGGAAAUGGACCGUUUGGAUAAGCGGGUCGUCAUGAAUUUUUCAGAUGUCGAGAACUCAUUGCCGAAGUUUAGCGGUGAUAAUGAGUAUGGUGUGCUUAAGUGAAUGUCUGUUCCAAAGAGGAAAAAAAUAUUUUUGCGCGGCGUAUGAUGGCCAAUAUAUAACUCCGAAUCAUAUCUGUCCACUCAUGGAGUGAGUUGAAGAAGAAACUCGUCCAGGAAUUUAAGAAGACUUUGAGCGCUAGAGAUGUAUUGAGAAAAUUAGAGGCGAAAAAUGAGAAAAGUCGGAAACCUUGCAUAGAUAUGUAUUGACGAUGCAAGAGAUCGAGCGUGGAACGCCUAUCACCGAAGCAGAGCAAUGUCAAUGUUCUACAACGUGUCUUCGGUUGACGAUUUUAAGGAGCUCAUCGCUAGAUAUGAGAAAGUCAUAGCCAAAGUUACUGGCAAUGCCGCAAGACCUGCGACCAUGAAGGAUGUCAGACGUUUCAACUGCUCCAACUUUGGGCAUUAUGCUCAGCAUUGCACGAAGUGGAAGCGAACAAUAGGGACUUGCUUCAAGUGUCUCAAGGCGGUCCACAUGUUGGCGAACUGUCCAUCACGGGUGGUGGCAACUUUAGGAGAUUUGGAUGAGAUUAAUUAUAAUAUACAGUAGUUUUGUGGUAGAAGUGGUAGAAGCGGCAGUUCCUUGUGUGAAGUUGGACGGUGACCGGGUGUCGGAGUUUAGAGGUGUAGGUAGCGGAGUUUGAGAAUGUGUGGCAGAAUGGAGGCGAGGAUCGAGUUGAAGGGGCGUUUGGCAGAUAUUUUUUUAUAUAUUGUACCGAAUAGUGCUAUCCCUCAUGACCUAAUAUUGCGUAGGGAUUUUAUGAAGAUGUUUUUUGUUUCAUUAUAUGUACAUAAGUGCUCCUAAGGAGGUUGUGAAAUAUGUCCGUUUCGAAUCGGAGAGUACGGAAUUGUUUGAGUUGGAACCGAUAGAUGAUAGCAAUGAUAAUAUUAACCUAAUAAAUGAAUUACCCUAUAAAGACGACAUGUUAUUGGGUGGUGAAGCGGUGGAGCUAGUUACCCGCCCGGGGUUGAGUAAGUGGGAUAAAUAUAGG